UACAGUUCUUGUAAAGUUUAUGAACAGGGAGAGGUUGGAAUUAUAUACUGUAUGAAAGCAGGAGAAGAAGAAUCUAGGGUUUGUAUCAGAUUUGAGCUUUUGGGAAAAAAAAAAAUCUGGCAAAUAAUUCAUCCUUGGCAAGAGCCCUGCUGUUAAAAGAUUUUCUUCUGGAUCUGCACUUCUUGCUCAGAAAACAGAGUUGCCCAACAACACAGGUUGCCUGUGCUUUAUCUGCUGUUUGUACAUCACAUAAAUCCAUCUGCCAAAUAAGUAGAUUGGAGAAUGCCAACUUGGAUCAAAAUACUCCACGAAAUUUAAUUUAAACUCCCUAAGAUGGAUAAUGUUCA